UCUCGAUAGCGUAAAAGUUAACUCACAUUUGUAUGGAGUUGGAACGUUUGCCUACGUUUGCCGCUAGGAGUGCUGUUCCAACUCCAUACAAAUUUGAGUUAACUUUCACGAUAUCCA
rnacentral:pre_miRNA from 9 species